CAUUCACGGCGGCUUCUACACACACACACACAUCUUCUUCUUCUUCUUCACAAUUCUCUUUUGUGCAUAAAUAAUUCGUCGUGAGGAGAAGACGGAAAAAAAAAGUUGUUUAUUUUUUCUACCAUCCGGAUAGAGCCCCUCGAGGGUCUGUAAUAUACAGCCUUCAGAAUUUGAUUGUAUUUACUACCACUCGAUAUUAUUGUCUAGGGAUUAUUAUAUUAUAUCGUUGGUCUCUCUCUAAUCGGAUUUGUCAAUAGAGGUGAAACUAUUCUCUGCAAUUGUGUGUCUAGAAAAAACUUUUGUUUGUUUGUUUAUUUGGUUCUCAAGUGAUUAUAUUCUCCAACCAACUUUUUUUUAUUAUUAUUAUAUUUUCCGGAAGAUAAAAUACGGAAACCUAAAAGUUUCACUUUUGCUUUAUCCUUUUCUCUUAUUAAUAAUCUCACAGAAAUAACGAAACUUUUUUUUCCGGGAAAGAAAAAAAAAAUCCUUCCGGCUUAACAUCUACUCCGCACUUUUAUGUUGAAUGGAGAUGGCGCUGGGAUCGGAAAGCGCGUGAUCCGCCCGCGGAAUACAACAACAACACCAAUCAAUCCCGCGGCCUCGUCGUAUCAUCACAUACGCACCUCUCUAUAUAUGUACGCGAUUGUUCUAUAGGAGCUUCAAUCCGGUCCGGUUGUUUUUCGUUCCCGUUGACCGCCGAUGGCGGCAGCCACUCUCUAUACAGUUGCGCCGAUGGAAUACGUAAGAGCGGCACCCCUUUCUCUCUCAUCCAGCUCAUUACACAGGAAAAAGAAAAAGAAAAAGAAAAAAAGGUUUUAUUUUUUAGAAUUUUCUAUCCGUUAAAAAUAAAAUAAAAUAAAAUAAAAAAAGGUCAUUAUCAUCAUCAUAAAUCCGCCAUUAGAGACGGACAGGAGAAUCGCUCAUCAUUCCCGGCACAUACUACACACACUCCAUAGAUAAAUAAAUGCAUGAGCCUUUUGGAUUAAA